rnacentral:tRNA from 1 species
CGCGGGGUGGAGCAGCUUGGCAGCUCGUCGGGCUCAUAACCCGAAGGUCGGAGGUUCAAAUCCUCCCCCCGCUACCA